AUUGAACGCUGGCGGCAGGCUUAACACAUGCAAGUCGAGCGGGGGAAGGUAGCUUGCUACCGGACCUAGCGGCGGACGGGUGAGUAAUGCUUAGGAAUCUGCCUAUUAGUGGGGGACAACAUCUCGAAAGGGAUGCUAAUACCGCAUACGUCCUACGGGAGAAAGCAGGGGAUCUUCGGACCUUGCGCUAAUAGAUGAGCCUAAGUCGGAUUAGCUAGUUGGUGGGGUAAAGGCCUACCAAGGCGACGAUCUGUAGCGGGUCUGAGAGGAUGAUCCGCCACACUGGGACUGAGACACGGCCCAGACUCCUACGGGAGGCAGCAGUGGGGAAUAUUGGACAAUGGGGGGAACCCUGAUCCAGCCAUGCCGCGUGUGUGAAGAAGGCCUUAUGGUUGUAAAGCACUUUAAGCGAGGAGGAGGCUACUUUAGUUAAUACCUAGAGAUAGUGGACGUUACUCGCAGAAUAAGCACCGGCUAACU
rnacentral:rRNA from 1 species